UAGGGAAUCUUCGGCAAUGGACGAAAGUCUGACCGAGCAACGCCGCGUGAGUGAAGAAGGUUUUCGGAUCGUAAAACUCUGUUGUUAGAGAAGAACAAGGACGUUAGUAACUGAACGUCCCCUGACGGUAUCUAACCAGAAAGCCACGGCUAACUACGUGCCAGCAGCCGCGGUAAUACGUAGGUGGCAAGCGUUGUCCGGAUUUAUUGGGCGUAAAGCGAGCGCAGGCGGUUUCUUAAGUCUGAUGUGAAAGCCCCCGGCUCAACCGGGGAGGGUCAUUGGAAACUGGGGGACUUGAGUGCAGAAGAGGUAGGUGGAAUUCCAUGUGUAGCGGUGAAAUGCGUAGAUAUAUGGAGGAACACCAGUGGCGAAGGCGGCUCUCUGGUCUGUAACUGACGCUGAGGCUCGAAAGCGUGGGGAGCAAACAGG
rnacentral:rRNA from 1 species